rnacentral:rRNA from 1 species
AGAGUUUGAUCCUGGCUCAGGACGAACGCUGGCGGCGUGCCUAAUACAUGCAAGUCGAGCGGAUCGUUCCUUUGGGAACGGUUAGCGGCGGACGGGUGAGUAACACGUAGGUAACCUGCCUGUAAGAUCGGGAUAACGACCGGAAACGGUAGCUAAGACCGGAUAACUGUAUCUGACGCAUGUCGGAGAUAUGAAACAUG